CCCCACGUGUAGCGGCGGAACUUCUGCCGGGGCCUGCACGCUGAUAGGGCCCCUGAAGAUCUAGGGCCCAUUGGGUAUGUUUGUCUAUAUGUAUGUAUCUCUAUGUAUGUGUCUGUAUGUAUGUCCAAGUAGAGAUUGUAGCCGUAUUAGUCCAGUGAUGUAGAUGUAAAAAAAGAUCAAAUUCGUAUCUUGUAAUACCUUUUUUAUUGGACUCCCUUUCUCAAGUCUGAAGCAUUUCUGAGCAAGAUGACACAUAGAAUGCAAAGUUGAGUUGUGAUACAGGGGUUAAAGUGACAUGUGCAGAUAAGACACAGGUUUCAUAGAAAAUAGACACCAUUCUCGCACAGGGUCGUAAUUAUCUUGUGUGAAGAUCACAGAGUGAGGGGGGAGAGAGAGGGGAAAAAACAAGCAAACAGUGCAGAAUAAGAUGCUAGAAGGGGAGAAUAAAAACAAAAU